CCAGUGCGUCCUUUCUCCCGGCCCCCCUGCUGCUGGUGGAUGGUAGCAAGUGGAUUUCCGAAGCCCGUGCCUGUGUCAGCCUCAGCUCGCCCCCGGGGGCCCGCGCUUGCCUAGGCUGCCUCUCGCGCCUGCGGGAUGUAGAGCACCGCGCACCGGCCCGGGCCUCCUGGCCUGGGCUGCCAAGGUCCUGCAGGCCACGACGGCCGCCUGCGCAGUGAGACGGGCGGGAACCCGCGAGGCGGUGUCCUCUUCCCGUCUCUGCUGGAGCCUCGGUGCGUUGGCGUCUGAUCCACGGAUGAGGCGAGCCGGCGGCCAGGGUCACGAAACGAGUUGGCUGUGCCAGAUGAAGAUUCCGUGAAGAUUAUGGCGAGUGAAGACUGUGGGGGUCAUGACAGCGAUGAAAUGUGACAACUUCAGGACUUGGUCUUUGUAACCAGUUAAGUUGUCUUCAUGUGUGAUAACUGGCUACAGAGUUGGAAAAACACCGUGGGAAGGAAGAGGCAGGCAAAAAGGUGACCAGUAGCUGAUACACAUGUUAUUAUUGGUAAACAAUAAAGGACUUUGGAAGUGUUUGUCCCUCAGA